CUGAUUCAAAUGAUCAACUCAUCAUCAAGCUUCAAGGGAUUCCUUCAAAAACGAUUGCCUAUAGUUACCGUGUAGGGCACUGAACGGUUGGGUGCAUCAGGAUGUUGCAUCGAUGGGGGCCAACAACGCAGCACGGGAGGAAAUCCGUGUGCGGGAGAUCUUCACCUCCUACCUCUUCGAAGAGGGUGCUGUUCCCUGGCAACACCUUGUGCCAUAGACUACACUAUGCACAGCCGAUGGCUCUUUUAAGAGACACCCACAUUGCAAUAAAAGUAUUCUUCCAUUUA